rnacentral:lncRNA from 1 species
GAACUGUGAUGGCAUGAGACGUUGUUUGAGAGAUCAAAACAGUACCUUCCCCAACUCUGGACAAAUCCAAGCACGUGGCUGAGGGCAAAAACAGGGCAUGAUUCACGCUCUGCAUUUAUAUCUUAUACUCUUUUGAAACAGAGAUUUACUCUCACCCACAACAGCACUCUCUUCCUGUUUUAUGUAAAGGGCGUUGUGGAGGCAGACCAGAGCUCUGUCUCAUCAGCCCUAUGACCUUAGACAAAUUACCUGAUUUCUCUGGGCUUCCCCUUCCUCUUGGACUAAAUGGAACAAUAUAAAUAGGACCUAUUCCCUGUUCUGUAGUGAUGGGUGAUGAGCAGUAUCCAUGCAGCACUCAGAGCUGGUCUUCAAUGUGACUCAGCCAACGCAAGUGGAGAACCAAGAGAACCCUGAGUAGCUGGAGAGGCACCGUGAGAUCACUUAGCCCAGUAUCCUGAUUUACAGCGUUGAAAAAUCGGGGUCCUCACUCAAGGUCAUGGGGCUGCUGCUGAAGUAGCUGAGUUGGUCCGGGAUCCAGAUCUCUUCUCUCUGGCUUACAGUUCACCGCCCUGAUUUCAUGAUCAAAAUCCAGAACAGUAACCGAGAUUUAUUGGCUGUCCUGGUUGUGCAACGCCUGCUUUGCUUUCUGGUUUACAGUUGGCUGCUUUAGAGAUAGCAGGAGAUGCUUCUGGCUCCCUGGAUAUGCUCAGGGAUGCUAAUGCAGGCAGCCUGGUGGAAGGGAAGUUCCCUGAAUCAGAUGACUGGCACUGUGCAUCUGCCAUUCAUGGGAAGUCCAAAACUCUCCUGUUUCUCUUUGAACUCUUCAUAUUUGAUCAUUUCACAUGGUCAAAAACAUGACCUUAUAAGUUGUUCAUAUUUUCCCAUAAAUAUAUUUCAUGUGUCUAUUGUGAGCUCAGCCCGGCAAUAGCAAGAAGCUACGAAACGCUCAACCAUCCUGGACUCACUCCCUGCAGGGUACUUGUUCCCUUCUUAAUUCUCUCAUCUGACCCCAGGUCACAGUCCUUCCUAAGAAACACUCCCAGCACACUCAGCUAGAGUUCCUUCCUCCCUCCCAUGAGUCCAGUUGACUUUUGGUUUUGGUUUGCAUGGCCCACUGGCUAUGUCUGCUUCCUCAGCAGAGUGCGAGCGAUUUCAGAGCAAGAAGUCAGUCGAUCCCACUGGCUCUGUGAUCUCCCUGGAUUUUCCAGGUACAUAGCAUUGAGUUGAAGCCAGCCUUGUAAGAAACUGGUUGGGAUUACUAGUGCUAGAAGCAGGUGGCUAUGACUUAAAAUCCAAACUCCGGCAUUUAACUCUUGUGUUACUGCAGUAGGAUAACUUUUAUAUUACUUACUCAGUAUAUUUUUAAUCUUUGUCUUUGUGAAUAUAAACAAGUGCACACGGAAUGCCUGAUCCCCAGUUAGGUUCUCAGUCUCAAUGGCUCUCUCACUAUUUAAUUGCAGAAAUAAUGCCCUCUUUCAAUACCUGUCUCUCACACUGUUGUGAAAUUAGCCCAAAUUAGUGCAGGCAAAGCACUUUGCUGAGUUUGUGGCAAAUAGUAAGUGCUCAAGAAAUAUGAGACAUUAUGCGUUCUGUUAUUACUAAAUUAAUACUUCUGGCUGUUGGGAGAGCAAAAGCAUCCAAUGUGGUCCAAUGAAUGAAUAGCUCAUGCUCUCUGCUUCUUAGGAGCCUAGGGACAGAAGCAUAAACCUUGGGGUUUCUUUUCCCUCAUUGUCCAACGCUUCUCUCAUCAUGGGAAAUGAGGACGCUCCAUAAUUACAGAAUAAAUUUCAGCCCUUUGAAUUGGCUUUUGAGUGUCAAAAUUUUAUUGUUAAAAUGACCUCAGUGACUUAAAAAUGAAGGACAGGGAAACAUUGAAUCCUGAAUGUGUCACUCUGUAUCAGCUGUACGUGACAACUCUCCUUACAUGGAUGCGUGCACACAUGUGUGUUGGGGGAUGAGUUUGGAAUCUCCCCUCUGUACCUGGCCUCUCCUUAACAGUGACUAAGUCCUUGCUAAUGUGGUGUGGACAGUAACCCCACUCUCCACUCUUAUAGAAAAUGUUGACUACUACUGAAUCUGAGUAAGUCAUGUGCUAAAACGUGCUGAAAUAGCAGAAUGGCGGUCUUUAAAAACCCCCAGUGCC